rnacentral:rRNA from 1 species
GACGAACGCUGGCGGCGUGCUUGACACAUGCAAGUCGAACGGUAAGGCCCUUCGGGGUACACGAGUGGCGAACGGGUGAGUAACACGUGGGUGAUCUGCCCUGCACUUCGGGAUAAGCCUGGGAAACUGGGUCUAAUACCGGAUAGGACCCUGGGAUGCAUGUCCUGGGGUGGCAAGCUUUUGCGGUGUGGGAUGGGCCCGCGGCCUAUCAGCUUGUUGGUGGGGUGAUGGCCUACCAAGGCGACGACGGGUAGCCGGCCUGAGAGGGUGACCGGCCACACUGGGACUGAGAUACGGCCCAGACUCCUACGGGAGGCAGCAGUGGGGAAUAUUGCACAACGGGCGCAAGCCUGAUGCAGCGACGCCGCGUGAGGGAUGACGGCCUUCGGGUUGUAAACCUCUUUCAGCACCGACGAAGCGCAAGUGACGGUAGGUGCAGAAGAAGGACCGGCCAACUACGUGCCAGCCGCCGCCGUAA